CAGGCUGGGAGUGCCCGCCUCGAGGUCUCCUUACUUACCCACCACGGUACCCUGGCCAGGGCCGUCUGAGGUGGCUCCUGUUAUCGUGGCUGCUUUUGAGGAUCAUGGUUAAGACCACCGGACCGACGGUCAAGCCGGUUGUAAAUACCCUUCUUUCCAUGUUCUUCAGGGACACCAGCCCCAGCGACGACCUUGGACGAUUUCAACGCGCAGGCACCUCGAUCCCCCGAAUUCUUGGUGUGGCCGGUAUCACUGUUCCCCUGGUUUAACUAGCCUGUUUGGUAAGUAACUGAAUAUUUUUUACAGCGUGUUCAGAGCUUAUUUUCCAGUUUUUAUGAACAAACAUAUAAAUAUAUCUCUGCAUUCCUGACUCUCCCAUAAAAGCGGGCAUCUGUGGAAAGCAGGUUUAGUUAUCGGAGGGGAACCAUUAAACAGCAGUUUAAGAGGCAGAGCGGGAGGACGGCUCGUGGAUGUUUAGACUGCUGGCCUUAGUGAUCUUGAACGCAUUAUAACGGAAAAUGGAUCUCCAUUUGUAAGUCAGCGGGCCGCGCGGGGCACCAGGGCCGCGGCGCCCGCGUGGCGUGAGCAUCUUGAGGAAGCUGGAGAGAGGCUGGGGCGGGGAUGGACAGGGGCAGGAGCUGAAACAUCCUCAGGACUUGGUUGGGAGUCGCAAAGGGAGCCGGCUAUGCAGCUCAGGAUUCGGCCCGAAGGAGUUUGGUGUGGAAAAGGGUGUCAACCAGGACCCCACGCGGCCGUAAAUUAGAGGAAGCCCAAGGCAGGGUGCACAGAAGCGUGGGCCGGCCAGGGCGGCCUGGGACUCGCCACUGGGCCUGGCUGGGGUCACCCAGGGGAGACCUUUAACUCCACCUUGGAUAUUGUACUUUGGAAGCAGGCAGAGUCAGGCCCCAGGCCGCCAAGGGAGCCCCACCCCACAAAGGGAGCCCCACCCCAAGGACUCGGAAGGGACAGUCCAUUCCUUUCCCGCUGGGCGCUUUCGGCGGAGUCCGCGGUUGGGGAUGGAAAGCGAGGUCAGUGCUAAUGGCGGGGGGGGGGGGGGGGGGGGCGGGAGGGGUGGUGGGGGCGCCCACCUCCUGAGCUGCGGGGGAUGCAGGGCCGGCUCCCUCGGCCUUUGCAGCCCUGGGCAGCAGCGUGGAGAAAUACUGUUCAGAUAUUUCCGUGGCUGGGCGUUAGGACAGGGGAAGAUCCUCGGAGAGGGGCUAGGAAACCCAGUGUGGGAGUGAAGUGUCCGUUCGGGCCCUUUCCCUCCCCUCUGCAAGGGGUCAAUUUCCCUGGAUGCCCCCAGCAUAGCAUUUUAAGGCAGAGAGCAGGGGGUGGGGAGAAGCUGAAAUCAGAUUUGUUGGUAAAGUGCCACUUGGCGCAUGGAUCAAAAUAGCGAGCUAGAAGCCCUCGACCCCCCAACUUGGAUGGGUCUGAGAUUUUAGCACAAGCAGGGUGUUUUAAAGACCUUGUUCUUCAAGGAAAGAAUAUAGGUAGUGUGAUGGGGUUCUGUUUACAUUUUCACCAGGGAGGCAAACCCUGAAUGUGUAAAUACUGGUAGUUCAAUCCUCUGACAUGUGAUACUUUUUUUUUUUUUUAAGUCUGUUUAUAAGAACACAUCCAGGCCCUGGAAGCAGGUAGAAAAAGCAUGAUGGUGGCACCCAGGCUAGCAACAGAUAACUGCUCAGGGAAAGAAGUUGGUAGACUGCUUUCAGACCCAGAGGGAGUUUUGGGAACUGAAAGGAAGAAUGGCUGAGUUGGGGACUGGGAUGCCCUGUCCAUCAGAGGUGAGUGGCCUCAGUGUCGAAGCCAUCAGAAUUGGCCACUUUCAGCCUUCUCAUGCUCUUUUAAUUGAAACCAAAAAUGGGCAAAUCUCCUCAUGGCCCCAGAUAUCACGGCAAGUGAUAAAAGAGACGGAGAACACGGGACAGAAAAGAAAAAAAAAAAGUCGUAAAAGAUGCUAAUCUGAGCAUCAGUCCUCACUGACAGUGUCAUUAUCAGUUAAUUAAUGCUGUGCAACAGUCUGGGGCUUCAUGUAGCUCAGAGAGCCAGACCCAGAGACUACAUACAGUCUCAGAAAGGCAAUUUGUAGGCAGGGGACAAAUGGGUGAACUCCAGCGUCCUUAACUGUAGUUAUUAACUCGCAGAGACCAGACUGGCUGAGGGCCAUUCCCAAUUCACAACCAAACGAGUCCUCUUUUUUCUCAUAGAGUCCUCUUUUGUACCUUUUGCUGCGGGUCUAGUGGGGGUGCUGGGUUAGUCUGCUGCUUUGGAAAGCUGUGAGGCAGAUCCACCUCAAGUUCAAGUUUGCCCCCUCCCCCCCCCCAGUUUAGACGAUUAGACAGUCUUUGCUUUCUGGUGGUAGUGAGGGAGGGGGGAGAGUGAUGGAGGAGAACAGUGGGAAAAGAAAGGGAGGAGGGUGAAUUUCCCAGCUGAGAUGUCAGCCAGGGACUGCACUACUGUGCACGCUGCUGAGCUGUCCCCCUAAGGGCACAAGUUCCAGUACUCAAAGGGCGCAAGCAUCUGAGAUGCUGCAGGCUGUUGGCCACCCUGGGUGCCCGCAGGAGGAUUCCUAGUGAGGGUGUACUAACUUGCCUCUCCUUUUCUGAGGCCAUGGGCUGAGCUGCAACCAGUCUUACCCAGGUGGGCAGCCCCCCGUUUGGAGACAUGCUGUGAUUCCUUGUCCAGUCUCCACUGUAGCUGAUGGUCUACCCCUGUACCGCGCGAUACGUCCGCCUCCAGCUAAACAGACAGAACCGGGUUCAACAAUUUGUUUUGCGCCCCUGUCUCUUGGCUCUUUCCCUUCACUCCCACCCCUUCCUCUGGAAAAGACUCAAAGAGCCUGGGAGAAGCUGAGAACUAACUCCCUUGCAAACGUUUUGGUCUUGUGAGAUAUUCCUUUUAAAAUCAAUCUGCUUUAAACUAAAUAUUUUUUUUAAAAACUUCAGUCUGUUUUUAGGGAAAAUACAGAUCUCUCGGAGGUAUUUAUUAUUACAAAGGCAAGGGCAGUUUGUAUCUUAUGUUUUGCUCAUGAGAACUCAAAAUAAACUGGACCUGAAAAGAACCAGGCCAGAGGGCCAUAAACACACAUUUUAUGUUUACGGGAAUUAUGGCUCAAUUCCCUUCAUCGUUUUUCAAAUCUCGUUUUACCUUAUUUUCCUGACCAACAUAGUUGGAGCAAUGGGGCAUUCCUUUAAAUAUCUAUAACGCUCUUAUAUAAGGUGAACCCCAGAAAGUGCCGAGAACUCCAGAAAGAACACCAGACCCAGAAGAUGGCAGAAAAAGAAAUGUGUUCUCGGGGAAGUAACCUCAGCCUCACCUGUUCCAAGGAAGUUGUUUCUUAGGACACCCUGAUGGCUUUGCAUUUUGUCUGAAUAAGGGUGGGAUUGAGUCAUUUUAUAGGCUAGCCACUUGGUCUUAGAACCUUCAGGACAUGAAGAAUAAGGCAUACUGUCUGAGUGGCGGCAAAGGAUCUCCCAACUCGGGUUCCAUAGUCCCUCCCUUUCUGGUUUGCCUUUUGGGAAAUGGUUGUCUACAGACAUGGCAAGUGACAGUGACUCCAGAAAUGUGGGGGUGCUCAGAGGAUACUUCUACAAUGCAGGAUCACGUUCGAUUGGACUCUUAUAUCUGUUUCACAAGAAGUUGCCCAUGGCUCUUAUGAGAUUUUAUUUGUUCUGAGCACUUUCUUUUUGCAUUUUGGGGUGGGGUGGGGUAUUUGGGGAGUGAUUCCUCUCCCCUCUUCUUUCCAGAGCAGAUCUGUGGAGAUGGGGGGGGGAGGGGCUGAUUCAGCUGCAAUGGAGGAGGGGCUGAUUGCUUACGACUCCCUUCAGUCCAGUGUUUUUGUUUUUGUUUUUGUUUUCAGUCCAGUUUUGAUUAGGAAACAUUUAAGUCAGUGGAGAAAAUGGGACUUGUUUGAUGCCUCCCCUCCAUUUAGCCUUUCUUUCAUAUUCCCUUCUUCCCUGCCAGCCCUUUCCUCUUUCUCUCUCUCCCUCCUUCCCUCCUCCUCUCUACCCCCCCCCCCCACCCCUUCAAAUUUGCCUUUGAGCAGUGCUUGGAUUUCUGAGGUUUCUGAUCCCUUCAGGUCAUUGAACCUGAAACUGGUGAAGAAUAAGAUACUGGCUUCUCCUUUAGUCCUUUAAGAAAAAUAAGUAUUUUUGUAAAACACUGAGAUGUAAUUGACAAAUAACGCUGUGUAAGUCUAAGACGUACAAUGUGCAAGAAAAAUGUCACUGUCCAGUCUUACAGGUAGUGGGAAUUUGCAUUUUCUUCAAACGGUCCCUGACGAGAUCUUCAUAUUAACUGGCAGAUGGGCUGCUGCUGUGGGAGGUUUUCACUGAUACCUGGCCAGUUAUUCAAGUUAAAAUACUUAUUCCGACAAAAGGGAACAAAAGAGAAUGCACCUGAAAGGGCCUCCCUAGAGGCAGCAAGAUGUGUAUAUAGGAGGUGCUAUUGAUGUUGUUAUAAGAGGUAAGGUAGAUCUGAUCAUUGCUGCUUUCUAGUAAAGCAUAGAUAGUUUAGAGCACCAGUGGUGUGAGAAAAUACAUGCCACAGGAUUUCUCCUAACUGCUUUGUUUCAAGCAAAUUACAUACACACUGGCAAUAUUUUCUUCCAAGCUAGAAGGAAAGCACUCCACAUUCAGAUGACGAGGAAGCAAUUGUAUUGCAUCCACGGUCUAUGGGAAAAUAAGCAGUCGUUAACUUCAACUAGUCUGCAGGAGGGUUCAGAAUGAAAUACAAAAGCGAAUGGCAACUUAAAAUGUGGAGCUUUGGACAAGCCAUUUAAGUGAGCGAAGGUUUUGUCUGUGACUGGAGGCCCCAUGCAUUCCCAGUUGUAACUGCGGUGUAGCGAGAAUUCUUAGGAAGUCCUGUUCGGAAGCUUCCUUUGCAAAUUCAUGUCGUUUUUUUUUUUUUUUUGUUGUUGUUGUUGUUUGUUUGUUUUGUUUUGUUUUUAGCCCUGGCAGUUUCUUGCAACCCUUUUCUACUUUAUUCUAGGGCCUUUGCUUCUAGACAAGGGACUUGAGCCAGGAUGGUUAGGUUUCAGGUUAACAAAAAGAAACCCUUUUAUUGUCAAUAUUAAUGGCAAACCUCGAUUUUUACAAGGUUUAGGUUUAGCGGCACGAGCAGAUCAAAAGCAGCUUGGCUUGAUUUCUCAAUAUUCUCCGGAGCUUAGACAAUUAGCUGCAAUUUUGCGUCGAACGAAACAACACAAAAAUGUUAGUUACCAAAAUGUUAAAGUUAGUCUUUCGGCAAGGAUUUUACCUGUGCACAACGUGUCAGAAGCUAAUAAAUUCGUCCACUGAACCUGAGUUGAGUUUUGAAGGAAACGCCUUUAACAAAAUGUGUGAGCACACUGUCUUCAUUUGCAAUGCCACGGAGACCUGUUUCAGCUGUGUGCAUUCCACACUUGCCUUUCUGGCUGGGUAAGGAUCCGGCAGACUGAGGUCUCUCUGGUAAUUUGGGUACACCGAGUCUCCAGUUAAUGAUAGAUAAUCAGCCUUUGGGUCAUUCGGUCAUUCUCUUAUUACAAACCCCUCCUGCUCUCUCUGAUCUCCUUUCAAACUAAAUUUCACACAAACAAAUAAAGCAAGACAGGGACAAGUUCCUUAAAAAAAAAAAAAAGGAGGGAGAAAUAUUAGAAACUCCUGAUACAGAACUCUAAACAAGGAAAGGCAAGCUAAAAGAGGAUAGGAAAGAACAUCUUAUCAAAAUGAACAUGCUGUGUACAAAACAUUAGAAGAGAAGGCUCUGGUUUCUGUUAAAGUGACAGAAAAUUAAAAUAAAAAUAAUUGCAGGCAGAGAAGUUAUAAUAUAAACAGAGAAGGCAGGAUGCUUGCUGGAAAUGCGCAGCACGAGGAGGCUAAUUUGUUGUUACAGAUUAUAUAUCUGCACCCGUGAUAGGAGAGGCGCUACUUUGUUCUAUUUUCCAGAAAAGAAUGGCUUUCUUCUUAGUACUUGUGUGAGUGCUCACUUAACACAGGCCAAAACCUCGAGGAACAAAAAAUGGAAUUGCAUUCUGCUUGCGAAGCAUCCAACUUCAAAAGAAGGAAUUGGUUGCAUACAAAAAAAAAAAAAAAGCAUUCCAUUCAAAACACAUUUAGAGGGUUCACUAAAUUGGUAUGACUGAUGCUUUUUUGUUUUGCUGACAGAAGGUGCAGAUCAUUCUCGGGGAAGUCCAACCGAAACCAGCCCUCCCCUGCCCUCUGGAGUCUUCGUUUUCCAGCCUACAUCUGCUUGUGACUCCAGAAAGAGACUCCAGAUUGGCCAAGGUACAUCUCUGACCAGAUCCCUCUAGGAAAAGCUCAGGAAUGCGUGACUCUAAUUGUUCAGAACUCUGGUGAGAGUGUCCCUAGUGCCAUUUUGCUGCCCCUGUCUUUGACAAUCCCUUUUGGCCCAAGUCCAGGUCUCCGGAAGGGUCAAGGUCUAGCUGCUGGUGUCAAGCCCAAGCCCCAGCUUUUCAAUCCUAGGAGAGGUUGGAACUUUGGCUCAGGGCUUGAACAACUCACAGUUCUCCAAGUUAGAGGGGCAGUCCUGAAACAGCAGCAGGUGGUGAAAUUGUGACUCCGAGAUUGUCCCGGACUGAAGUCUGGCAUUCCUUGACUUGCUAGCAUAGCUAUCAAACAAUCCAUGUCUGUCCCAUUUUAAAGAAUCCACACUUCACUUUGUUUCUUCUAGGCCCAGUUUAAAUGCCACCUCCUCCAGGAAGCUUUUCCAGGUAUUGCUUUCCCUCUCUCUGCUCCCCCACAUUAAGUCCCCUCUCUGGUGCACCCCCCUCACAUAUUCUCCGGUAGACUCCAGUGACUGUGGGUUCCUUGAGAGUCCAGUCAAUGCAUUGGGCCCAGCCUGGGAUUUAACGGCUCGUGUCAAAGGGAUGACUUAGAGACAGUGGGUGAAUUCUGCGUAUCCCAAUUGCAAGUGGAUUGCUUUUCUUUAUUUUGAAAGCGACCAGAGCUAGGAGGUGGACCUUAGGGAACGGACCUUCCUCGGGAUAGAUCCCACUUGCAGUGGGUCUGAGCCAUCAGCAUCGGCGCCGAGAGUGAAAAACCCAGCCCCAGCCCGGACCUCCCCGGGUAACCCCUGUCAACAACUUGAGCGCCAGAGUCAGAGCUGGGCAGGGCGGACUCUCAGGCACCCAAAUACUGGCUGCGUGAUCUCGAACCAGGUCAUCCGUCUCUGUAACCCUUAGUUUCUUCAUCUGAACAAUGGGUUAAUGACACCGUCCUUGAGGGUGUGUAGGGAAGAUUAGAUGAGAUCAAGAUGCACUGGAGAGCGAGACGCCUGACACACAGGCUGCGCUCGAUAAUUACUUAUGUACUGUCUCUUCCUGCCUCUUCAGCUUCCUCCCCUCCCUUCCAGCCUCCUCAAGACCUAGCCCGACGACGGCGACGGGCCAGGUGGCGUCGGAGGUCACCGCUUGCCUGAAUGCCCCGAGCCAAGAGCAACCGCGGUUCCGCGGGGAUCGCAAGGGCCUCAGGCCUCGCAGGACCGUGGGCGCUGGAGAGUGAGAUGUGGGGCUGCGGCCGCCACCCGGGAAUGUUGGGGGACAAGGGGCGCUGCUCCGGAUUUAGGCCGCCGGCCCUCCAGCCCUGCCUUGGCUGUUGGGCCGCCUCCUUCACCUUGGUUAAGUUCUCCUUUUGCUCCCCAUUCCCGCUCGGGGUGCCCGCCACCAAGGAGGCCGGUUCGCCGCAGCUUAGGCCAGGGGAGGUCACUGCUCUGGGGCGGGAUGGAUCCCAGCUUCCCCCAGCUCGUCUCCGAGGACUUUUCGCCGGAGGCGGGCAGGAAGGGGUUAAGAGCACCCCUCCCCCCCACCCCCCCCUCGGCCAAUCCAGAGCCCUGGGCUGCGGGCGAAGCCCGCCGCUUCCCUCCUGAGGUCUCAUUAGGGAAACCCUCACCGCUAUUUUCAACAUUUCCUCAAUCAAGUGCCUUUAAAUAGAGCUGCACAAACAAAUUGGCGGCAAAAGCGUAGAUCUUGUCACGAUUGAGACCAAUCCAAUAUUUCAGCCUUGUUUGCUUUGCAAUUACCGCUUGGCUUGUGGCUGCGGUGCCACCGGGGCAAAUCUGCAGCCGCCCGCUUUCUCCUCGGCACCCUCGGCGGGCGGAGGAAGCGACCCGCAGCGCCGCCGGAGGGAGGGGGGUGGCGCUGGAGGAGGUGGCGCGAGGGCGAGGGGCGGGCGGCGGAGCCCUCCCGAAGCCCGCGUGCGAAGGGCGCGGGCCCUGGGAAGGAGGCUGGACUUCUCAGGUUCCUGGCCGAGCCCCUGCGAGACAUACAGUAACAAUAAAACGUGCGGUACGCCUGCCGAAUCCAGUGUCGUGUCCUUAUCCGGCUCCUUCCCCCCCCCCCUCUUCCCUUGCCCCUCACUUCCGUCUCCACUGCAUCGUUCUUCGGUAUUUGUUAGCGGUUACCGGUUUCCCCUUCUUUCUUGCUGUUAAACUGCAAGCAUGAUUUGUUAUGUUUUCCAUAGCUGCUUAUUCUUGUUUGACUUCUUGUGCAAAGGCACUUUAAAUCUGCUGCAGGCAGAGCAAAGCUCCAAAUGGUUCGGAUGGGCUCCUGCAGGCGCCUGGCUGCCCCCCUGCCCUCCCCCUCCCCCUUCCCCCCCUCCCCCCUCUGUUCUUGCGGGAUGGCUCUGGUGUAAAUCUGCCGCUGCGUGCGUUCGGUCACCGCGCCGGCCAGCAGAGUUUGUAUCAGCAGAACAGUAGUUAACUCAAAUCAGGUCCUAAGCCUUGUAUUUCACAGACAAUUAAGUCUUGGCUGCUGUUGAACAAAAUUGUAAUAUUUACUCUGCUCUGUGCUGAGGAGCACUUUUAAAGUCAAAAACAAAUACAUUUCAAAGAGAAAAUAUGAUAAUAAAUCUCUUUUUAUGGAUUUUCCCUGCAUAAGUGGAAACAACGUGAUUUAAAUUCCGACGCCUUCACCCUCCUCUCAGGCACAGCUGAGGUUGUACAGAUACUGUCUUUUAACACACACUCUUCAGGUCUGGGGGGCGGCACCUGCAUUUGUGACAUUCAAUUUCGUUUCCGAGGUUUCACACCCCACCCUAACCCACAUAGGCAAAUGCAACGAGGAUUAUGGAAUAAUUAGGUCUGGGAUGGGAAGCCCGUUUUCACACUAAUUCCAGAGAGGUGCACAUGACUUGGGUCAUUAUUUUAUGACUUCAUAUUACCUUAUAAAUGACUACCCAUUUUCCUCUCCUGUUGGCUUCUGAAGGAGGUGGGAGAGUUGAGGCAGAGAAAUAUUUUUAGGGGACUCUGGGGUACCCGUUAAAAUACGCUUCUUUAUUAUUAUGUCAAAAUGCAUAAGGUAUGGACCUACAUUUGUUUGCUGGUGGGCAUAAAAUAAAUUCAUGACUAUUCUAGUUAAUCAGCAAUCUCUUUAAAGCUUUACUUUUUUUUGGUUUAUAAUCCCACCUAGAUUGUAGCGUCAUUCUUCAGGAUCACCCUCCUAUGGUAACAUUUUUCAUUUUCAGUUUUAUUUAAAGCAAACCUCAGAAAUAAUGGUUUCAUAAAGUUGUGCAAUGUCAAAGCCACACAAUAAUAUUUCAAGUUCAUAUGUCAUGCACGCCCGUGUAUCUCUCUCAAGAAAUAGGAAGCAGUAGCUAGAAAGGGUACCAUUUCAUGAGAAUUCUGUCUUCACCAAAAAAAAAAAACAACCCAAAACUGGUCUGGCAUAUUAUCCAAUGCACAAAUUAUAAUAUUACUUUCAUGUGUGUUAAUCUGUUUAGUAUUAAAACUGCUAUGUCUUAACCAUUAACAUGUUUUACCACACUGCUUUCAAAUGGGUGAUCUCAGAUAAUUAUGAAGAUUUUGAUGUUAAUCCCAUGUUAAGUGAACAACCAUGAAAAUAACCUUAAAGCAUUAUUAUUCUAAUAUAAACGCCAACAAACACAAUUAUAGAGGGAACAUGAUUACUUUUUAUCUGGCAUUAUCCUAUAAGGAUAUGGCUACAUUCAUUUCUCUUUAAAUCAGAGCAGUUUUCAAUUACUUUUUAAUAGAAUUUUUUUCAACACUGCAUUUCACAGUAUCUAUAAACCACAACAACUUUGUGCUGACAGAUACAUAUUUUUUCAACAUUGUUAUUCAUUAGCUUCUUUGAAAACUCACUAAAAUAGAAUAAUAUACAAAAAAUAUCAAAAUAUAGAGAACAAUUAUUAGGUUCUACAUAUUUAUUUAGGUAAGCCAAUGUUAUUAAAAUUGAAAACAUGUGCCUGGCAUAUAAAUGUUUCUUUAAGAAUUCUUUUUUUGGAUGCACAGUUAUUAUUUUUUAAACCAACUCAGAUUUUCGAGUACUGAAUUUUCGCCCUAAACAGGCAUUGCAUUGUUUUAGACAGUAGCUCCUGGAACAAUACCACUCUUAGUAUUUUAGACUUCCAAACAACAAUUGGAAUUGGAUAAAUGCUUUCAGCUGGGAGCACUUUCUUAAUACCUUUGUAGGUAAUAGGAUUCCCUAUUUGUGUGGGGUGACAAAUGGACAGUGGGAUGGACAGACUGCCUACCCGUUGUGGAAUCUACCAGAAAAUGAAGUUUUUGAGUUCAUUUGUGGUCCGUCUAAAAGAAAUUCUGCUAAAAUGCGAAAUCAGGAAAAUCGAGUGAGUGCUUUUUCUGAGUACUUUUAUGAAUGAUGGCUUGAAAAGGGGGAUGAAAAAUAUAAAAGGGAAUGCAGAAACAUAAAAUCUGGAAAAGAUAAUUUCCUUAGACAGGAUCUGGCUCUUUUUCUAUAAACAGGAGGGUGAUGAAUCGGAUCCAUAUAAUGAAAUAGAUUGUUUUUGUUUUCUUCAAUUGGGUGAUUUUUAGAGUAGACUUUUCACCGGAUGAAGAAGCCCAAUUAAGGAGAUAUAUGUAGAUUUUUGUAUAUGGGAAAACGCUAGCUUCCAUGAUGUUUAAAUAUUGCUUUAAAAUAUAAAGACCUUUAAUCCACUGUACCAUUGUUCUUUCUUAAGGAAUACAUGUCUAAAAGCAGCGAGUUUUUUCAAACUGGUAUUAAACUGGAAUAAUGAAGUAUAUCCAUGAGAUGAUUUUCAUAAACUCCCAAGUUGCUGAGAAAAAAACUGAAAAACAAUUUUUUUUUCAGGAACAAACCAGGGGACUUUCUUAUUAUUCUGGGAUAAAUAGAGCAAGAAACUGCCUCCUUA
rnacentral:lncRNA from 1 species